GCUCCACUAGCUCAGGGGUUAGAGCACCGUCCUUAUAAGGCGGCGGUCCCGGGUUCGAAUCCCGGGUGGAGCA
rnacentral:tRNA from 1 species